rnacentral:rRNA from 1 species
AACGAACGCUGGCGGCAUGCCUAACACAUGCAAGUCGAACGAGACCUUCGGGCUUAGUGGCGCACGGGUGCGUAACGCGUGGGAAUCUGCCCUUGGGUUCGGAAUAACAGUUGGAAACGACUGCUAAUACCGGAUGAUGAUGUAAGUCCAAAGAUUUAUCGCCCAGGGAUGAGCCCGCGUAGGAUUAGCUAGUUGGUGGGGUAAAGGGCCACCAAGGCGACGAUCCUUAGCUGGUCUGAGAGGAUGAUCAGCGACACUGGGACUGAGACACGGCCCAGACUCCUACGGGAGGCAGCAGUGGGGAAUAUGGGACAAUGGGCGAAAGCCUGAUCCAGCGAGGCCGCGUGAGUGAUGAAGGCCUUAGGGUUGUAAAGCUCUUUUACCCGGGAUGAUAAUGACGGUACCGGGAGAAUAAGCCCCGGCUAACUCCGUG